ACACACACACACACACACACAGAAAAUAAUAAACACAGAAGUUUACGCCUUUCCUUACUGUGUAUAUAUGUGUGUGUGUGUGUGUGUGUGUGUAAAGUGUGGGUUUUCCGAGCAGUCUUCGCCCCACCCAUUCCUUCUGUGAGGCCCCUGCUGCUGCUACACAAAAGGUGGAGGUUGUAGCAAACUGUAGUGAGCCCAUCAGGCAUGCAGGCUCUGACAGCAGGUGAUGGCAAUGGCUCUGGGGUGACACUGACCUCAGAGCUGCGCCUACUGCCUUCAUGGGCCAAGUCCCAGCUAGCACACAUCCUGGAGGUAACUCACGGAUGGCGGGAGGUGAUGGGUCGAGUACCAGGACACCCAUGGGCUCCUGGAAUGCCUCUUCCUGAAGGGGAACACUAUCCUAGGAAGUAUUCAUCAGAUGACAUCCAUUUGGUGUCAGAGGAGUGUGGAAGAGAUCGGCGGGAGGGAUUCGAGGUAUUGGUAGAAGAGUGGGGAACAAGUGGACGGAAACGACCUACUGUGAGUGAUCUGGUGUCCAUUCUUCAGGUGGCCAAGCUGUACCGUGCAAUGGACUAUCUCAUUGUCACUGUUCUCAAAGGUGAAGCACUGCCUCGCCAGGAGGGAGACAGUGAUGCAGAGGACCAGUUGGACCAGGCACUGGAGGAGGGAAGUCAGACCCACUACAGGUUCAUCUAUGGUGGCAGCAGCUACAGAGAGGACCAAGUUCAUCCUGGAGUUGAAGACUCCCAGGGGCUUGAGGAUGGGGACUCUGAUGUUUUACAAAUGCUAGAUAGAGACCUGAGAGCCCAGGAAAAUUCUGCUCAAGAACAGGGAAAUCCUCAACUGGAUUUUGAGGUCGUGCAGGAAUUGAAAGAAUAUGGCUUUACCCACUUUGCCUUCAGUACUAUAAAGGAGAUCACCAACAAAUUUAGUGACUUGCCAUAUGAUGUAGGUGGCAAUAAGCUGGGUGAGGGGGCCUUUGGUACAGUGUACCUGGCCAGGGUGGUGCUAGGGGGUAGAGAGAAGAAGGUGGCUGUGAAGAGACUUGCCUCAGGGGAGAACAAAGUGGAGGACCAGUUCAAGACUGAGAUUGAAGUUCUUUCAAGGUGUAUCCAUGAAAAUCUGCUGCCUCUGGUGGGUUACUCCUGUGAUGGACCUGACUGGUGUCUUGUGUAUGACUACAUGGCCAAUGGCAGCCUGCAGGACCGGCUUGCCUGCCUGGGUGGGAGUCCCCCUCUUGGGUGGCAGCUGAGGGUGGCCAUUGGUGAGGGAGCAGCUCAAGGCAUUGUGUACUUACACACCCACCAGGAGCGUCCAUUGGUUCAUCGUGAUAUCAAGAGUGCUAACAUCCUGCUUGAUGAACACUUCACACCAAAGGUUGGUGAUUUUGGAUUGGUACGGCUGGGGAGUGGAGGCACCCACACUGCCACCCUCAUCAAGACCACCACAGUGUUUGGCACCUCAGCCUACAUGGCACCUGAGGCCUUCAGGGGAGACAUCUCUGUCAAGAUGGACACCUUCAGCUUUGGAAUAGUAAGAUAAAAUAAUGUGUUGCUGGAGCUGCUGACUGGUCUGCCAUCCUACCAAGAGGAGCGAGAAGGCUGUGACUUGCUGUCCUAUGUUCAAGAGAGUGAGGCUGAACCUGCUGAACUACUAGAUGAGAAGGCUGGCCAAUGGGACAGUGGUGUGGCUAUCCAACUGUUUGGUCUUGCUGACCUGUGUACUGAGUUCAAAAAAAGGAGACCAACAAUGGUGCAGACCCUUCACAACUACAGAAAGAUAAUAAAUUCUCAUAGCUGAUUUUCACAUUGCAAAAUAUAAGUUUUUUUUCCUUUCUUGAAUACAAUAAGAAAUAUAUCAUAAAUAUGCAUUACUUUACACUUAAUUAUGUAUGGCUUGUAGUUUACUAAGAGGUCUUCCUCAUGCUGAUGAGGAACACUACAAACACAGGUGACUACACCGAGAGGAGCAAGACAGGGAACUAAUGAGUUACCUUAGCUGUUAUUCAUGAGCUGUUGUCAGUAAUGCCCAUGUCUUUCAUUGAAAUAAAUUAAAGUUUCUUUUCCUGUUAAUUCCAGAUGUAAUUGUUAUUUUCUAAACAUGUCUAUGUAAAAUUAUAUAUAUUUAUAAACAUUUUAUAAAUUUAUAUACUAGUUUUGAAGUCAGAGCAUUUAAUAAAGACUAAAUAGA